rnacentral:rRNA from 1 species
AACGAACGCUGGCGGCAGGCCUAACACAUGCAAGUCGAGCGCCCGCAAGGGAGCGGCAGACGGGUGAGUAACGCGUGGGAAAUUACCCCGAGGUACGGAACAACUCGGUGAAAGCUGAGCCAAUACCGUAUGUGACCGAGAGGUGAAAGAUUUAUCGCCUCGGGAUGUGCCCGCGUAGGAUUAGCUAGUUGGUGGGGUAAUGGCCUACCAAGGCGACGAUCCUUAGCUGGUCUGAGAGGAUGAUCAGCCACACUGGGACUGAGACACGGCCCAGCCUCCUACGGGAGGCAGCAGUGGGGAAUAUUGGACAAUGGGCGCAAGCCUGAUCCAGCCAUGCCGCGUGAGUGAUGAAGGCCUUAGGGUUGUAAAGCUCUUUCACCGAUGAAGAUAAUGACGGUAGUCGGAGAAGAAGCCCCGGCUAACUUCGUGCCAGCCGCCGCAGUAACAC